UACGUAGGCAGCAAGCGUUGUUCGGAAUUACUGGGCGUAAAGAGUGUGUAGGCGGUGUUCUAAGUCUGUUGUGAAAUCUCCCGGCUUAACUGGGAGGGUGCGGCGGAGACUGGAAUGCUAGAGUGUGGGAGAGGUAAGCGGAAUUCCUGGUGUAGCGGUGAAAUGCGUAGAUAUCUGGAGGAACACCGGUGGCGAAGGCGGCGUUCUGGACUGCAACUGACACUGAGAAACGAAAGCCGGGGUAGCAAACGGG
rnacentral:rRNA from 1 species